CGGAACACGUACGCAACCUUCCUUUAACUGGAGAAUAGCCCCUCGAAAGAGGGAUUAAUACUCCGUAACAUAUUGAUAAGGCAUCUUAUUAAUAUUAUAGCUCCGGCGGUUAAAGAUGGGCGUGCGCCUGAUUAGAUAGUUGGCGGGGUAAUGGCCCACCAAGUCUGCGAUCAGUAACUGGUGUGAGAGCACGACCAGUCACACGGGCACUGAGACACGGGCCCG
rnacentral:rRNA from 1 species